ensembl:lncRNA
AUGAAGUCCUGUGACGGGGGCUCCGUGCCUGUCAACACCAGCGGGCUCAGGGGAUCCAGAAGCAGCUGCUGUAGUGUGUGUGAGGGGGGCACCUACCGUCCGCACCUAUCCACGCUGCUACAAUGCCUUCCGUGCCCGCCAGGAUACUUCUGCCCCCCAGGUGCUGUGGACUAUAAAGCUAACCCCUGCCUUCUUGGCUAUGUCUGUGCCAUGGGAUCCACUCACCCGGAGCCCUGCCCCCCUGGUACCUUUGGGAAACUGACUCAUGCUAAGGCAAUGAGCGACUGUCGGCCGUGUCCAGCUGGCACCUUCAACCACCUGCAUGGCCAGAAGGCUUGCUUUCCCUGUGGUAGCUCCUCUACCUCACCCGCUGGUUCUUCUUCCUGUACCUGCAUUGGCAAGAACCGUGCGUUCCAGCACUCGGACGGGUCGUGCCUGUGCAGAACUGGUUUCGUCUUCUACGAUGAGCUGGAUUUUAAAAGCUCUGGCGCUGACAGUGGGUUGGACUGCCAGCCUGAGGUCAACACACGAUGUGCCACAGGACGGGUUCGUCUAGCGGCGUCCAGAGACUGCGUGUCACCCUCUCUCUACUCCUGUAAUAUCACCUGUGGCCCACUUGGAGGAACUCUGGAUGUGGGGAUGGGAAUCUGCGAGUGCGAGCGCUACGUGUCUGCCGAGGAGCUGUGCGACGCUCCCUGCCUCUCCAGACUGCCUCAGCUCUCUGCCCAGUUCUCACCAGACGGCUACCUGCUGCUCAGCCUCAAGGAAAGACACAACAUGGUCUGGGCCCGGACUGCAAAGGAUGUCUUAGGACCAGAUAUACAUGUAAAGAACAUUGGGAAGGUCUAUUUAGUCCAGUUUGCCUCUGAUGGAGUGUUUGGUUGGAUUCCUACAAAACCGGACUUCAUCAGUCAGUUUCUUUCAGAGCCAAUAGAAUUCUUAAAUCCAAGACCCAGAAGAAGAAGAGACACAGAGGAUGAUAUCGAUGCAGAUGCAGCCCUGGGGGACCUUCCUCGGAUUCCCAACCCCAUCGUCUGUCUGGCUUCUGGGGAUAUGCUCGUUUUCCACCUCUCUGUCAACUCCACCGAUCGUCACAUGAGUCACUUCCCAGUGUAUCAGAAAGACCACCUGUUUAACAGUAACCCCAGCUGGGACUUUGGUGCCUUCAGACGUCUGCAAGUCCUCAUGAAACAAACAAGCUUCAACUCUACAAGGUUUGCUCAUGUGUUUUCCGAAAAGGGGAAGUACGUGUUUGUGGACAGUGCUGUCCCAGAGUGGAGCAUGGUUGUCGUGGUGACCGAGGAGGGGACAGAGUGCGACCCCAGGGCUGCCGUCUUCCAGCCCAUGACCCCGGCACAGCUGGUCAAGCACGGCAUCGUCAAGCAGCACCGACUCAACCUGCUGCCCGACUGGGGAGUGAUUACAGGCGUCCUCAGCCUGCUGCUGGUUGCAGUCUUAGUCCUGACCACCACGGUGCUGGUUGUGCGACCCAGCAAAGCCAAGCUGGUGUCCCAGUGGAGGACCAGGCCGAAGUGGCGCAGCCUCGGCGAGCCCUGCUGUCCCGCGGAGUGCGUUUGCGGUGGAGACAGCGUCGCCGGGGCUUUGGGCAUUCGAGGUGUAGGAGAAGGGGCCGAGGCUGAAGAGCCUGCUAUUGCAAAGGGAGGGAAUUUGUCGGGACGGUGUGAUUUGGAGGAGUUCAACGUGAAGACUCUGUACGACAAACUGGAGGAUCAGAACCUCCACGUGGCCUCGCAACUGGCCCGGUGCCGCAAGGACACGCAGGAGUUCUACCGGAACAUUUGUGAACAGACGGAAACGCUUAAAAACGUCUUUGAGAAUAUGGAUCACAAAAAACUGAGUCUCCUAAAAGAGCUGCUAGUUCACAGUGUCCUAAGGAAUAAAUCUUGUAACGGUUCAGGAGAAAUAAACACACAAGCUGAGCUGUCUAUAGCGGUCCUGGGAGACGUUCUCAGGUCAGUGGAAGCGCUCUUAUGCAGACUGACCGGUGACACGUGGCAGACCCAGGAUUUGCCCCCUUUCUGCCCCCAUGACAGCAAAGACAUGUCUUACACACAGACGCCGAACUGUUCAUUGAUGAACAUGAGCAAAGUCGAGGUCCAUCUCCAGGAACCAGUUCACCGCCGGAGCACGGGUCCUGGUGUAAGCGACCAGGACGUGUCCACGCUGAUCACCAUGUCUCCACUGUUCAAGACCCUGCAGGAUAUUCAGCAAGCUCUACAGAGCCUCACCACAGCUGGGCCCGGCCAGCAUCUGCACAAUGCUGCGGAUGCUUCAGUCCACGAGGUCCACGAUGGCCAGCUUGUCCCCACUGCGCUCGACAGCCUCUCGCCUCAUCACUCAGCCGUUUUCCUCUUCGGCCGUCAGGUCGUGCAGUUGCUUGCGGACCGGCCCCGCUUCCCCUCUGUCCUUCUGCUACUGGCCAAGUCGAUCCCGGGCUCUUUAUCUUGUUCUAACCACGCUCCGCUCGCGCACUGCUCGGGGGACUUUUACUUUGAUCCAACCAAUCAAAUCCUUUAUCUGUCAGAGGCGAAGCUUCAGCACGUGGGCCACUUCAUCGCUGUCAUCCUGCAGUCCAUGGCCCACAUAGCAUCAGGUAACUGGACCCUAGUCAAUGAGGAGUCCUGGUCAUCCUUUAUUGUGUCCAGCUUCUGCAACACUCCUUUUAUUAUGGGAUAUACCUUUAUAUUUACUUAG